GCCUGGGUGGCUCAGUCGGUUAAGCGUCUGACUUCGGCUCAGGUCAUGAUCUCGCGGUUCGUGGGUUCGAGCCCCACGUCGGGCU
rnacentral:tRNA from 1 species